UACAGAGGUCUCAAGCGUUGUUCGGAUUCAUUGGGCGUAAAGAGCUCGUAGGCGGCACGGUUAGUCAGGUGUGAAAUUCCUGGGCUCAACCUGGGGACUGCGCUUGAUACGGCUAGGCUAGAGGAUGGAAGAGGGUCGCGGAAUUCCCAGUGUAGAGGUGAAAUGCGUAGAUAUCGAGCGGAACACCAGUGGCGAAGGCGAGUCCCUGGACAAUUCCUGACACUGAGGCACGAAAGCUAGGGGAGCAAACAGG
rnacentral:rRNA from 1 species